CUUUUAAUAUAUAUUUUCUUUUGGUUGGUUUUCUGUCCUCUGCUGCAUUUUCUCACAUUUGGCGUGCAAGGGCCCACAUAGGCGUGUGUGUCUGUGCAUGGUGAGGCGGGCUUAUCACACUGAUCAAUCUUCAUUGUUGCGCCCCAGUGCGUCCACUGUGGGGGGUUGCUCACCCCAAACGCACGCCGCGUACUAACGCGUUGCCGCGUUGCUGCCCUCCUAUACCUUUUCCAUCUCCACCCUGUCGCGCAGGGUCGCAGAUCCACAGACGCACAUAGAGUCCUUCGUUUACACACGCGUACAUAUAUAUAUAUAUUUGUUCACUCCUCUCUCUCUUCCUUGUCUGGCUUCUUGACACAACAUCCUCCCCUUCCACGGCCUUCCCCGUGCUGCAGCACUGCCCAUCUCGCGAACCCUUUUGUUCCCCCCCUUCUCCCUUUUCACGCGCGUGUGCGUGUGCGUGUGUGUCUGUGCCUCUCCGUCUCGUGCUUCCAGACACCCUCUCUCCCUCCCGACACCUCUGCGACACCGGCCGAUGCUCUCUCAAAGCAGCGGGACACCCUUCACGGGGGAGAUUCCGGACAAGGAAACCCUUCACGAGGUGAUGCGCUACAUGCCGUACAACCGACGCACCCUGACAGCCAUGCGAUGCGUCUCGCGACCGUUUCGCAGUGCUGUGCAGAGCCCGCAGAGCCCAUGGGCACCACACAAGGAAAUCAUGGUUUCCCGCUACGGCCAGUGCAUCAUCUUCAACGCCCAGGAAGACGAGCGGGGACGCAGCAACUACUCCCUGUACUCUAUCUCCUCUAUCGGUCGCAAGUUCCGCACCCACAGCGCUAAGCUGCUGGGCCGCUAUCACGCCUUAGUCGCCAAUGGGCUGUCGCGCCUCGUGCUGCAUCACGCUCCCGUGGAGAACUCUUUCUUCGAGCCCCUUGGCGCGUUGACAAACUUGAGGGAGCUGGAGCUGGUCUCCUGCCGCGGCGUCACGUCCCUCGGGGAUGCCAGCCGCAUCAAAAGCCUCGAAUCUCUCACGAUCGUCUUCUGCCCUGUGGAGCCGGACGGUGUCUCGGGGCUGCACCUCUCGAACCUCAAGAAGUUGACACUGCGGUCCUGCAGCAAGCUCUCCAACCUGAACGCGAUCCACUCCGAGACAUGUGCCUCAUUGGUGGACGUGCACGUGGAAAGCUGCGGCGUAUACGAUGACACAUCUUCUGCCUUUUUUAGUGACCUCAGCUCCAACCUGCGCACUCUCGAUCUCACCGCGACCUUCAUUGACACUGCCCUCACGCAGAUACCUAAAGAGGCGCUGGAGUCAUUGACGACGUUGCUCAUGUCCGAGACGCCGCUCCACUCGAUGACGUUGAAUACACUUAAGACGUCGUUGGCCAAGAACCUGGUGCACUUGUCGCUGGACGGCUGUGAGGAAAUCGCUGACCUGUCCGCGCUGGGAAGCCUAAAGAAACUCCGCUUCCUCGAUGUGUCGCGGCUGAGCGUACUGCAGGACAUCGAAUGCGUGGCGCAGUGCACCCAACUCGAAAUGUUCCGCUGCGCCGCGACCGACCUCAACAACAUCACGUUUCUCAAAAAUAUGGAGCACCUGCGCGUUCUCGAUGCGACGAACACGGCGCUCACGGACUACACCUUGAUUCACCUGGAAGAGUCGCCAGAGCUCGAUACGGUGGUGCUCACUGGGUGUCUGUACAUCUCUAGCAUCAACGCCUUUCACCAGUGCCCGAAAAUACGCCGCAUCCUGUGUGGGCGCACGGCCGUGACUAACGAAGGUGUGGAGAUGCUGACGGAGUGCGCCACGCUGGAGGAGCUUGAUCUGAAGAUGACAAACGUGACAGACGUGAAUCGGCUGGCCGACUGCCCGUCUCUCAAGGUCAUCAACGUGUGCGGGUCCAUCAUGAUGCAGGACGCGAUUCAGCGGUUGCUGGAUAAGCCGUCCGUGGAGGUCAUCUGCGACUCCUUUGAGGAGGGUGACUACAUGGACUGCUAGCGUGCCUGUAUGGUGUGUGUGUUGUGGUGGUGGUGCUGCUGACGGCGCCGUAGACGGGAGAGGUGGGAAGGUUUAGGGCCGGCUUGGGGUAUAGCGGUACCUGCGCGUAGACAGAAAAGGUGUGCGUGUGUGCGUGUGCGGCAGACCGCUUUUGCCUUCCCUUUUCCUGCGCUCCUUUGCCCAUUUCCGCAUAUACGUAUCUGUAUCUUAUCUGUGCCCCCCUCCUCCUCCCUCUUCCUUUGCGAUGGUUUUGUUGCCUUACUGUCUCCUCAGGGGGGAUGUCGUCGUUUGCUUGAGCGUGUGGGCACAGCUUUUGGGGUGGGCGGGGGAGAUGCGCCCCAUGCCUCUUGAAUCGUGGCUGCAGACGAGAAGCUAGCGAAAAGCCAGAGAAGGGGAUGCAUAGGUCACGCCAAGAACUGGAAACGGGUGCGGCUGUCUUUGCUCAUUAUGAUUUUCCAUUACAUUCUUUUGCUUGGUGAUUUCUGGGAGGAUGAGCAUGGAUAGGCUGCAUCACCUCUCUCCAUCCCCAGCUUCCCUUCUCUCUCGCACACCCCGCUCGCACGAGCACCCACGCGUGCAAGCUGAUCCAUUUGCCACAACUUCAGCAGCAGCAGCAGCUGCUGCUGCUGCUCCAUGGUGAUUUUCCUUCUUUUCCCUCUCCGCGUCUCUCUCUUAUCCCAUCGCUUUCUUCUUCAUUUGCGACCUGCCUGUGCCUGUGUCCUUCUGGUAAGAUGCGCGUUGUGGCUGCUGCGUCUUCUGUGUCUUGUGCCAUUCUUUGUGUCUGUGCCUGUAUGUCUGCGUGUGUGCCCUUCUCCGGAAUGCCUUAGCCAGUGGGCAUGCUUCGACGGCGUGGCUUUCUUUCAUGGGCAAGUCUUCACCAACCCCAAGACAGCUGCGGCUUGACAAAGAAAAAGAAGAGGGCGAGAGCGGACUCGCAAAGGUGGGGGGAGGGGGGCUGCUUCUCUCUCACUGGCCAGCAGCAGGGGCUGAGAGGGGUGCUCUCCCUCCUCUCUUACUAGUAUUACGAUUAUAUGUGUGGUGGCCGUCAAGAGCGGACGCGAGGACAUGGCGGUGCGUGUCCCUCCUCCUGUCAAGCCAGUGCGGAUGCUCUGCGGGUCUCUCCUUCCACAAAGCGCUUCGCACGACUCCGUGAGGGGAUGAACAAGAACGGAAAGGGAGGGGGAGGGG
rnacentral:misc_RNA from 1 species